rnacentral:lncRNA from 1 species
AACCGGCCCCUGGGCCACCUCUCACAAUUGAGCCCCCAGCCCUUGAACACACGCACACACGCACACACGCUGAGCUACCGCCAAUGCUUGAGCCCCCAGCCCUUACACACACCCAUACACGUGCACAAACACACACACACGCUGAACCAACUUCAACACUUGAGCCCCCAGCCCCUAGAGAGAGACACACACACACACGCUGAUGCGGGAGCAUUUAGCACAGUUUCCUUGCUGAAAAAGCAGGACCUCGGUUUAGAAAAUGGAAAUUGCCCAGGAGGAAAAGAGAGCUGAGAUAUAUGCAGCCCCAGGUGCCUCCUUCUAAUUCAUCUUCACCAUUGUGGUUGUCAAUAUGGCAUGCAGAAUUAUCCCUCUUUCCAGCUUCUGGAGUCUACCUGGAUUCCUGGGCUCAUGGCCCCUUCCUCCAUCUUCAAACCAGCAAUGCUAAAUCCAACUGGAAGCCUGAGAUUCAGGGAACCCACUACUGCAGUCCAUAAGGAUCAGCCUCCCUUGGCACAGAAGAGGAUGGGGAAAGGUGGAGCCUGUAUAGCUAGAUGAGCAAACCAAAAACUUCCAGCACGUACUGAUGGAGCUGAGCCUGACACUCUAACCGGUUCUCUGGGUGUACUGCAAAGGUCUAAUAAAAGGCACCUUUGCCCGGUUGCUUCAAUUCUAGGAAGCUGUUCAAUGUUUGACUAUAUUUCUCCAUACUCAUUUGAAAACAGUUCAUCAGGUUAGUUCAGUUGAAUUAUUGCUCCUUGGGAGUUUUCCAAACCCUGGAUUUCCUUCGGAGAGAGCUAGAUUCUAUUCCAUUCUUGGAAUUCAGCUCCUUGCCCUUCUCUGUGACCCCGGAUCGCGAAUGCAGUAAAAAUAAAAAUAUCCUGCUGCCUCCUGCACUAA